GAUUAACACUAUUUAGCAUGCCAGGCUGGGUUGUAACACAGUAGCCAUAUAUUUAUUUUAUUUCAUUUUGAUUUUAGACCUGCAGUGUAUUGCCAGACCCCAGGUCAACACAGCCACCACAACCCGAGCUGCCAUUUUCAUUUCCUGCCAUGGAUAUCUGACAGUCCUUCAUACUGAAGAAAAGGUGAAGUAAGGAAGAUGGUUGAAUAAGUACCAAACCCUCCUCUGAAAGGGACACCAACUCAACAAUAUGCAAAACAUUCUCCUUUGUGAGAAACCCAGAGACCAGCCAAGAGACUCCUAUAGCCCAACUCAGCAUAACAGUUUCACCUGACUUGGCAUACUGACAGGAAUUUGAAUGCUCUAGAUGCUUGAGGAUACUGAAAACAAACAUAAGAGCUCCAGAGGACCUACAGUAUAGCAGACAGAAGCUGAUUCAACUUGACAGUUUGUCCCUCAGGGGGAAAAGAGAAGAAUAAAAGGUGUGUCAAAUAUUCUGACUUUCGGGAGGAGCUGCCUGAAAAACUGGUUGUUUACUUGCUAGUCUCAGAGCACUAAAGGGAGCUGGCAUACUCUAAAUGCCUGAGGCCAAUGAGGAGAAAAAGAAAUGAGUGACUUACAGUAACAUCAAAGGAUCUUCAUUAGUGGAGACAGACACCAUAAGAAGGAGGAAAUUUCAGCUUCUAAAAAAGGAAACCAGUAAAAUCUCCCUAAUUAGGAAUUUACAAAUUCACAGAAAACAUUUGAGAGACCCGCAAAAUAUGUAGCUGGGUCAUUUCAAGAAAAACUUUCCCUGUUUGGAGCUGGUCCACAAAUACUGGGAGAGGGGGCUACUUUUCAAAUGCAUAGAUCCCAACAAAAAGUAACAAGGCACAUGAAGAAACUGUUGUAACCAACAGUUGGGCACAUGAGCCAAGCAAAGUAUCAAAAAACUAUCUCCAGAAAUAAGUCCUAAAGAAAUGGAGAUAUAUGAAUUACUCAACAAAAAAUUCAAAAUUAACCAUUGUAAAGAUGCUCAAUGAAUACAGAAAAUAAAUACAUAAAAUGACAACAUCAACAAAGACAGAAAAUUUUCAUGCGAGUCCAUGUGAAGAGACCACCAAACAGGCUUUGUGUGGCAAUAAAGCUUUUUAAUCACCUGGGUGCAGGCGGGCUGAGUCCAAAAAGAGAGUCAGUGAAGGGAGAUGGGGUGUGGCCAUUUUAUAGGAUUUGGGUGGGUAGUGGAAAAUUACAGUCAAAGGGGGUUGCUCUCUGGCAGCAGGGGCAGGGGUCACAAGGUGCUCAGUGGGGAGCUUCUGAGCCAGGAGAAGGAAUUUCACAAGGUAAUGUCAUCAGUUAAGGCAGGAACCAGCCACUUUCACUUCUUUUGUGAUUCUUCAGUUGCUUCAGGCUGUCUGGAUGUAUACGUGCAGGUCACAGGGGAUAUGAUGGCUUAGCUCGGAUCAGAGGCCUGACAUUCC
rnacentral:lncRNA from 1 species